rnacentral:rRNA from 1 species
AACACAUGCAAGUCGAGGGGCAGCAUAGAGUAGCAAUACUUUGAUGGCGACCGGCGCACGGGUGAGUAACACGUAUGCAACCUACCUACAUCAGGGGAAUAACCCGGAGAAAUUCGGACUAAUACCGCAUAAUACAGGGAUGCCGCAUGGUAAUAUUUGUUAAAGAUUUAUCGGAUGUAGAUGGGCAUGCGUUCCAUUAGCUAGUUGGUAAGGUAACGGCUUACCAAGGCAACGAUGGAUAGGGGAACUGAGAGGUUUGUCCCCCACACUGGAACUGAGACACGGACCAGACUCCUACGGGAGGCAGCAGUGAGGAAUAUUGGUCAAUGGACGAGAGUCUGAACCAGCCAAAUCGCGUGAAGGAAGACUGCCCUACGGGUUGUAAACUUCUUUUGUACAGGAAUAAAAGACAUUACGUGUAAUGUAUUGCAUGUACUGUACGAAUAAGCAUCGGCUAACUCCGUGCCAGCAGCCGCGGUAAUACGGAGGAUGCGAGCGUUAUCCGGAUUUAUUGGGUUUAAAGGGUGCGCAGGCGGGAUUUUAAGUCAGCGGUGAAAUUUUCAGGCUCAACCUGAACACUGCCGUUGAAACUGGGAUUCUUGAGUAUGGAUGAAGUAGGCGGAAUUCGUCGUGUAGCGGUGACAUGCUUAGAUAUAACGAGGAACUCCGAUUGCGUAGGCAGCUUACUAAGCCAUAACUGACGCUCAAGCACGAAAGCGUGGGGAUCAAACAGGAUUAGAUACCCUGGUAGUCCACGCCGUAAACGAUGAUUACUAGUUGUUUGCGAUAUACCGUAAGUGACUAAGCGAAAGCGAUAAGUAAUCCACCUGGGGAGUACGCCGGCAACGGUG